ACUUACUGCUCACCACAGUCCUGAUCCCAGACUUGAAGCAGCAACAAAAGCCGGCUCGUCAGGGAUAACAGAUGAGCGUAGAUGAACAGUGUCAGGAGGAGAACACGAUGUUACUGGAGCUGUGUGGCAUGACAAGUUGCCAUGUUGUGAAAUCCAAAUCUGUGAAGGAAGAGAAGUGAAUUGGUCCAUCAGCUUUCCAACAACAACAGAGAGUGAAUGGCAAGGUGGUACUGUAGACUUGGAUUCCUGCUGCCAAAGUUUUGUGAGCGCCAGAAAACUCACCUUUGUUUCAAACUCCUGCAACCCUUUCGCUUUCUGCAGCGUAACAGGGCCAGAGGUUGGGAAGAGGACCUGUCUGAGGCAUCACUAUCUCCAUUCCUCAUGGCUACAUCUGCCAGAGCCUCCUCCCACCUGUCUGAUGCUGCUCAGAUUUAUGUGGCUGUAUAGGAGGAGGCCAAUCCAGUGUGCCAGCCAUGUGUAGGCUUCCUUUUAUACUGACAGUUGUGUGUAUGAUACUGUAGCUGGCUUCCAGUGAGGCUUGGCCCAGUGUAUCUAAAAUCUGUCAUAAGUGGAAGCUUGAAAAGGUUAGGACAGUUCAGAGAAGAUAAAUGGUGAAUUGGGAGGACAGCUGAUGUAGGAACACAAACACUUCAAGACGAUGGAGUGGACUGAGGCCAGUCUCCCUAUCCCACUACACACUGUGGUGGGUUCCUCCUCGGCUCACCCUCGUACCUGCUACAGACGGGUGAAAUCAUCCAUUGUGUGCUCCACUAACAGAAGUUUCUUCAGAGCAGGCCAUCCACACGAGCCGCUCUAUUACUCUCAUCAAAACAAAUGAUAAAGAAUGGUUAUUGGGUUUUCACAAUGUCUUUUGUAUAAUAAAGCUCGUUAACUGCAUUGCACAAAACAAAUGGGCAGAAUAAUCAGUAUACUUAUUGACAUUGUGUCAUUUCUAGUUAGAGCAGGAAGAGGACUCUCACUAUGGCUCCGGGCUUCGCCUUCUAUCUCUCAAGAGGAAGAGCGCUAAUGGCUUCUGAAAGCAGGGAUCGAAGGAACUCAUAAAGCACUGCAGGAUGAGACGAGAGGAGGAAGAGCAUUAUUAAUCCUUUUUCAUCUGAAUACACAACGCUCUGUGCUGUACAGCGUCCAGGCUUGAGACCAGUAUUUUGCUGCAUCACAUUAACUGAUUGCAGAUGGCGUUCUUUAUGGCGUACACUUUAGAAGUCAGAUGGAAAAGGACUUUGAAAGUAAACUUUUGUUUGGUAUAGUUCUCAGAGAUGUGGGCUGAAUUUACAGCUUAGCAUAAACAUUCAACAGUUGUUAUGUAUGUUGUGUAUUUUGUCUAACCCAAACAAUAUAUUCAAAUUGUGCACAUUUACAAAUGCAUCUUGUGUUAUGUUUCAUCAUUUCAUGUACAUACAGUACAAGUGCCCAGCCCAUAUGGACUUGUAAAACCUUAUAAAUACAGUUGCAGCGGUAAAACAAAUUGUCAGACAAGAACAAAUCUUCUUACAACAUUACAUUGCAACACAGAACUGUGUCUCCUGCUGCAAGCUCUACAAAAACAAUCUGUCACAAAAAAAUCUGUCCCAUUUCUAAAACACAAUUGUAUUAUUGUCCAACCACAAGAGCUCAUCAGAAGUGAAGGACACAAAAGUUGAAUCCUCAUAUUAUCAUAUAAUGAGAAUAAACCUGAUAGAUUAACUUUAAUCUAAACUAAAUCACAUAGCAAACAAAGUCUUUCUCUUCAGGGAAACAAUUAAACCUUUCUGUUUCCCAGCUAAUGAUAAUGUACCUGAGUGUAACUGGGAACAACUGCCCACUCAUGCUUGAUUUUUGGUGAAAUUCUGUUUCACAUAAGGCUCUAUACUUGAGUUGUUUUUGAUGAGACAAUAUGUUUGUAAUUUAGCUUUGUACCAACGGACCAUCUUUCCUUUUAUAUAAUGAACAAUUAGCACUGACUGAGUAUCAUGAACAUUACAUUGUAACCUGUUUUGAAAGAUAUACAAAAUAAAUAUUUCCCCUAAAUAGUCCAGACAUGUCCAUGCAAAAUGUUCCAGUUAAAGAUCUUUCUAGUGAACCGCUGUUCUUUUACAAGUCUGAUCCAAAGUCGAAUGAUCUCACAUUUAUGUUCAAUGUUUGGAUGCUCUCAUCCCAAGUCAAGUCAAGUCAAGUCAAGUCAAGUCAAGUCAAGUCAAGUCAAGUCAAGUCCAUUUUAUUUAUACACCCCAAUAUCACAAAUGUGCCUCAAGGGGCUACAGCAUACAACACCCUCUGUCUUUAGACCCUCAAGACACUGCUCCCGCCCAAGAAAUAGUCCAGAACAUAACCACUCAUAAAGCCACAAUGUGUCAUUUUUACAUUUCGGAUUUUUUGUACGGAUUAAACAAACAAGAUGUUAAUUAGUGAGCUUCAGAGGUGCUGGUAGAGCCAGGGUAGCUGUUUCCCCUGCUUCCAGUCUUUAUGCUAAGCUAAGCUAACGGGCUCUUCCUGUGCAGACACGAGACAUGAGAGUGGUAUCAGUCUUCUCAUUUAACUCUCGGCAAGAAAGUGAAUAAGCAUAUUUUCUAAAAUGUCAAACUUCUUUAAGCCUAUUCUGCAGAUUAUUUUGAAUGCUCAGCAUGUAAGAUUAUAUUAUCUGGCAAUGUUAACUGCUCCACUGCUGUUUUAAAUAUUACUUAUGCUUCACCCACUUUUAUAUUUGCUAAUAAAAGCAGAUCAAAGUG